UGGGGAAUCUUGCGCAAUGGGCGAAAGCCUGACGCAGCGACGCCGCGUGAGUGAUGAAGGCCUUCGGGUUGUAAAGCUCUGUGGAGGGGGACGAAUAAGGGUUGGCCAACAUCCAGCUCGAUGACGGUACCCCUUUAGCAAGCACCGGCUAACUCUGUGCCAGCAGCCGCGGUAAGACAGAGGGUGCAAACGUUGUUCGGAAUUACUGGGCGUAAAGCGCGUGUAGGCUGCUCGGAAAGUCGGAUGUGAAAGCCCUGGGCUCAACCUAGGAAGUGCAUUCGAAACUUCCGAGCUGGAGUGCUGGAGAGGAAGGCGGAAUUCUCGGUGUAGAGGUGAAAUUCGUAGAUAUCGAGAGGAACACCGGUGGCGAAGGCGGCCUUCUGGACAGUCACUGACGCUGAGACGCGAAAGCGUGGGGAGCAAACAGGAUUAGAUACCCCCGUAGUCC
rnacentral:rRNA from 1 species